rnacentral:rRNA from 1 species
GUGAGUAACCUGCCCUUGACUCUGGGAUAAGCGCUGGAAACGGCGUCUAAUACCGGAUACGACCUGCCCCGGCAUCGGGUGCGGGUGGAAAGUUUUUCGGUCAAGGAUGGACUCGCGGCCUAUCAGCUAGUUGGUGAGGUAAUGGCUCACCAAGGCGACGACGGGUAGCCGGCCUGAGAGGGUGACCGGCCACACUGGGACUGAGACACGGCCCAGACUCCUACGGGAGGCAGCAGUGGGGAAUAUUGCACAAUGGGCGAAAGCCUGAUGCAGCAACGCCGCGUGGGGGAUGACGGCCUUCGGGUUGUAAACCUCUUUUAGUAGGGAAGAAGGGCUUCGGCUUGACGGUACCUGCAGAAAAAGCACCGGCUAACUACGUGCCAGCAGCCGCGGUAAUACGUAGGGUGCAAGCGUUGUC